rnacentral:rRNA from 1 species
GCAGCCGCCGCGGGAACACAGAGGGUGCGAGCGUUAAUCGGAUUUACUGGGCGUAAAGCGUGCGUAGGCGGCUUCUUAAGUCGGAUGUGAAAUCCCUGAGCUUAACUUAGGAAUUGCAUUCGAUACUGGGAAGCUAGAGUAUGGGAGAGGAUGGUAGAAUUCCAGGUGUAGCGGUGAAAUGCGUAGAGAUCUGGAGGAAUACCGAUGGCGAAGGCAGCCAUCUGGCCUAAUACUGACGCUGAGGUACGAAAGCAUGGGGAGCAAACAGGAUUAGAUACCCCCGUAGUCCCUGUCUCUUAUAC